rnacentral:lncRNA from 1 species
AUCCUCAAAGUUUUCUCGUCCUUUGCAUCUCAUGUUUAAAAAUGUCCUCGCUAAAUGUGCAUCUGGAAAUUUAAAAAAAAAAUUAAUUACAAUGAUAUUGAUAAACAAUGUGUUAUUUAAAUUAUGUGGGUAACUGGCAAAUAUAAGAGAGUAAUCAAAAAGCACUGAGUCAAUGAAGAAAUGAAAUCAAUUUCAUCAGUAAUGCAGACAUGUCUCCACUUACUGCACUCAUACACAGGUAAUGGCCGUGUAUUCACAAUGCAUUCCACAUGACCCCCUUACUAUGAUGGUCCUCCUUUUACUGGUUUCCCUGAACGAGGGCCCAUUUAGGCAAAGACUUCAACAUUAUUAUUCUCUGUCUCUUCUUUCCAAUCUUAGAUUUUGACAUUUAUGCAUUGGCUCUCCUUCAACCUUCCCCCAAAUAUUGAAGAUUCUUUUGGGGCUAGAGACCUCCCAAAGAACAGUCUCUUCCUAAAACAGCCUCAGGAAGAUUGGAGUCCUGGGCACAGGGCCAUUGCUGGGCUUUUAAAACCAUCCUGGAGGCUGGACGUGGUGGCACCCACCUGUAAUCCCAGCAACUCAGGAGGCUGAGGCAGGAAGAUCAUAAAUUGGAAGCCAGCCUCAACAAGUUAGCAAGAUCCUAAGCAACUUUGACUCUGUUUCAAAAUAAAAAGGACUGGGGAUGUAGCUCAGUAGUAAAGUACCCCUAGGUUCAAUCCCCAGUGCCAAAACCAAAAACC